CGGCGACUGAGCUGUCAGGGUAGAACUGCCAGGCACAGCAGUGAAACCAAACAAAAAAGAUUCAGCCAGCUGUGUGGGGAAAUUUGGUCACGACCCACGCAGGCUUCUCGUUCAGCAGAUCUCAUCCUAAGGAGGGGAGCAGCUCACAUGACUCCCAACAACAGAACAACUUAGAAAACCACAGCAGUGCAACGCAGGAGUGGGUAAUGCAACAGAGGAUGAGCACAGGAGAACUGUACAGGUGUGGUUCAACAUGUGGAGUAUCGCAAAGUCAAAAUGCUAUGCCUGUCCUGGUCUCCCAGAUUGUGUGCCCAAGAAAUGGAAGGACUGUAGUGAGGAUGAAAUGGGCUGUCAUGGACCUCCAGUGAGGAACUGUGCCUGCACCUACAUUGCGUAUGGAAGAAUGUACCCAAGUGGAUAUUAGGCCUAGCCCAGAGGCUCUGCACAGAUAAAGCCAAGUCAGACCCAAUGUCUCCACGGUCCCCAAACUGUACAGUGUGAGCUGAAAUUUGUCUACUCCACUCCUUCUUGAGCUCCAUUGACAUACCUGGACAUUAUAGUUGUGAGGACUCGGUCAAUUUCCAGUUAUACAAACCUGAAGAUGAUGGUUUUUUUUCCUUUUCAUUCAAGGUGGAAAGUUUAAUUUGAAAGAUCAGAGGAACUAGCAAGACUGGACAAGCUAGAGCUGAUUUAAAAGAUAAAGGACCAACAGCUAUCUGGCCUGAUAAAGUAAGUGUUAAUUUAAAUCACCCUAGGCCAGAGAAAGGCUUAGCUUAAUCAAACUGGAACCAAGGUCUAGCCUCAGCCAAAACCCAAGUGGAAAUCCAAAACCACAAAUCACAUUUGAUUUUCGUCCAUGGCAACACUUCAUACCCAGCUUUCUGCUCAUAAGCGUCCAGCACAGGCGCCUUGGGGUCCCUGCACUCCAGUGGGUCUGGGCAUCCAGAGCAUCAGGACCGACCAACUCACUGAAAUAGCCUGGAAGGGCAGGAAGAAGGGGCCAAGGAUGAAGGGGCGGGGCAAGGUCAUGUCAGCAUCUGAGUGAGACACACCAGGGUGUCAUUCUCUACUUUACCUUCUGACUCAGAGGCUUUCAAACUGUCCCAAGGAAAAAUAGUCCAAGUCUCGUGUGGGACUGUUUACCUGCAUAUAGAUCUGUGUAUGUGUGUGCUUGAAAAUACGACACAGGUUGAUUUUAAUGAAUACAACCAACAAGCCCAGCAGCCAGAAUAUAUAAAGAACUAACUCUGACAACCAAAAAGUAAAAGUCAGCAAGGCAGAGAACCUGGCAAAGGAUUCAGAAGCGUUUCCCAUAAAAGAGGCUGCUACACAGUCAGCCUCACGAGCGAUGCACAGCGAGGCAUCAGGCUGGAGCUCCACAGUAGAGGUUGUUGAUGAAGAUGCGGAGGGAGGUUUUCUCCUGGACUCUGAAGGGGAAGCAAUCAGUAGGCCCACCUUGGAAAUCAGUUUAUUAACAAGUAAUCCACCUCCUGCUCAAAAGAGACCUAUAAACAAACAAAAAAUGAAUGCUGAAGCCAAUGUGGGGGGAGGGGGAAUAAAGAACUGACCCAAAUGGUCAAAUCAGAGAGAGUUUUAACAAUGUAAUACUGAACAGCCUGGGUCAGGUAUUCCUAUAAAGAGCCACUUAGUUAUAUAAUGGAGAUUUUGCCAGCCAUUUUGAUUUUCAUCUGUAUUACAAUGACUUGAUUUGGCUAUUGUACUGAUACUUGAUAAACAAAGGACAUAGUUGUCUUCUAAUAAAACUUUAUUUACAAACACAAACAGUGACCCAUAAAAUGGCAACAGCUGGAAAAUAAAUAAACUGAUGUGAGGGUUCUUCCCUCUGUCUGUCCACUGGGGUUCUAACACUUGAGCCCACUCCCACACAGGGCAGAGAGACAGAGGGAAAGGACAGUGAAAAGACUCCCCAAAGCUAGCCGCAAGCAAGCUGAAGCGCUUGUGGCUACAUUUGUGCCUAGAAAAUGCUGGGAAGCUGAGAAGCACGCUCAGGCUUCCACCCCCAGUGUCUUCUGUGUCUCCCUUAACACAGGCCCCGACAAGCCCUGCCUUCCAGCUCCCAAGGACGGAGCAAAGUGAGCCAGAGCUUGUUUGCCACCCGGCAGACAAACUAACAAGCCAGCAAGAAAACCAACAAAUACAAGAGGAGACAGAAAAGAAAAAUAAAAUGUAAAAGCUACUUCAAGAAUCCCAGAUGGAGAAAAACAGUUAUAAAAGAGAUCAGAAAGUUACAAAAGUAGAAAGCAAAGGCAAUCCCACUGCAUAGCUCAACUUUAAAAAAAAGUGUUCUUUUAGAAUGACCCUGGGCUUCCAUCAGAAAGGAUAAAUGGUGACAAAGCUGAGAUGCAGCACGAUCUCGGAGAAAAUGCCUGCCAGUGAGGUCCCCAAGCCAUCAAUGUGCAGUCUCUAGGCAGACUCGCUCACCAGGGAGGCUGAUCUCCCCCAAAGCUCCGGGAAACUCAAGUUUUCUUACGUGUCUUUGAGGCCUCUGCAGCUAUUACUGUGCUUGGCACAAAUUCUGAACUGCUAGUUCACAGAUGGAGCAGGAGACAGUAUGUCCUACGGGAUGUUAUGUUGCGGUAUCUUUGAGCAAUACUUAAUGUACCCCAAAUGUUUAUGCUGUCUUUAUCCUCGCUAAGGCUUACUAGCCAUUGAACAGUGUAGGACUUUACUCAGUUAACUACAGAGAGGAACAGAGUACCCUGUAGUAUCUAUUUCACAGGAGAUGCAAAAAAAAAAAAAAAAUGGUGGCAUCAACUUAACAGACAGAAUCGCCGACUCAGAAGUUCCUUAGGAAUUGUCACCAUAAAACCGCUGGGGCUCUGAUGAUCUGCUUCCAAGCCCCACAGUACACAGGAAAAAGGCAGGGAGGGGAAUAGGUUCAGGGAGGCAGCUAAAUAAACUGGCUGCCCAUUUAGCCAUAUUGGACAGAGUGGAUCACAGGAACCUGCAGUCAUCCAAAAGCAACUGACCGGCUUCAACACAGGAACUGAAGCAUCUGUCUCCAGCAAGUAGGACUUAGUAGUGUCCUCUAACUCAUUUGAAGCUGCUCCACUUUAAAACGUUCACAUGUAAAUGGUCAUCAGCUCCCAUCAUAAGAUGAUUGCUACUCAAUUCUGAGCCUUAUGGCCACUGUGGAGACCCUUCCCUCCGCAGUUCCAAUUUCCUUGUGAAGUUUAUGGUUGGGAUAAGUGGGGCAAGCUAAUGUCUUGGAUGGGGUCUAUGGUCUCUAAAAACAAGAGAUGCUAAAACAUCUUCUGUGUCACAUGGCUCCCUCCAGCCUCAUGCAGGGCUCCCUCUGUAGCUUGGAAUAUGCUCACUGCUUUGCUUGGGGUUUGUCUGCCAAUAACUAUAAGCUUUUAUGUUCCUGUCCAUCUGCUAACAGGGCCUGUCCAGCACCCAGACUAUCAGGCUUCGGCUCAGCAGUCCUCAUCCCCAUGCUCCAAGACUAUGUACACCCAUAUUCUGCAAAAGACGCUGCAGGAGGAAGGGCCGUAAUCCAGACAAACAAGGAAGGGGUAAAGAGUGCUCCACCUUCCCUGCCUUCCCCCCACCACACAUUUGGGGUCUUAAUGCUCCCUCCCCAGAGGCAGUGUGGUCGCUGGCAGGAUGCAGGUAUAUGACUACAGAUAGGCUGUUUCCUUCUGCUUCGUAAAGAUUUCUUACACAUCGGUGCCUCCCAUCCAGUGCUCAAAGGCAAUUCCUCGACUUCAACCUUCACUUUUUUUAUGGAUGGUUCCCCUAACUCCCUUCUGGUAAUAAAUAUCUUUCUCUCAAUGCCUCAUGUAGCCUUCUCCUUGAAUCUUUCCUCACCUCAAACAGUACACCUAAUAGUGACAACCUUCUUCAUCCCAAGUUCUUCCCCAUUCUGUGAUGGCUACUUCCGUUAAAGAUGCCAAGUUCCAGCUCCCUAGGCAUUUGGCCUGGAUGACCCUUCUAUCUCCCUACCCUUCACAGGCUCAGGACCUGCUGCUCCUACCUGGACAUUAUUUUUUUUUAAAGGGGGAUCUUGAUUCUCCAUUAUCUGCCCAGCCCACAAAUCCAGCCAGCCAUCUUACUGCAGGGGCUAAGAGUGGGGUCUGAAGUGUCCCUGGGCUCAAAUCUCAGCUCAUUCACUCACUCGCCAUAUGGCGCUGAGAGAGCUAUUUAACUUCUCUAACUCUGGAUUUCCUUAUCUACAGCAUGAGGACAGAGACAAUGCCUGUGUUCCAUUUUUGUGAAGACUAAAUGAGCCAAAGCUGCAGAGGACGGAGACCAGCCUGUGACACACAGGGAGUGUUUAACAUAUGCCUGUUGUAAUAAUUGCUGAUGGGAGAUACUGCGGUAGUAGUGGAGUUCACCCUGGCAUUUAUAACAUCUGAGUUAAUAUUUCAACUUUGCCACCUGUCAAUUAUGUAACCACGACAAGUUACUGAACCUUGCCAUGUCUCCAUUUCACCCAUGAGAGCCCCCAUGUAAAGCAGGGCCUUGCUGUAGAGAUGCCAGAUACAGCUCACAAACUCUGUGCAAAACUGGUUCAUAUGCCCUGGAACUGGCCUAGUAUGGCUUUCGGCUUUCACCCUGAGAUGUCCCAUGGGACUGUAUUUUAAGUAGUACCCGCCCUCUGUGGUUCACCUUUCCCAACAACCUCCUUGAAGAGCCCUGAGGGAGUGGUUUCUCCAUCCCUGACUCCCACAGCACUCCUUGUACCAGUGCUACAGUGUUGAUAUUUGUAUGAAGUCUCAUUCCCCCCUGGGUCAAGGAUGCCAGCUGAGAUCUCCACACCCAAGGCAGCCCCUCAAUGCUGUCUGGCAUCGUAACUAAAAACAGAGGAUGAGAAUCUGACAAAACGGUAGGACCUGGAGCUAAUGUGCCAGGCACAACUCGUGUCUACCCUGCAAGCAUAUGUGAAAACCCAGGAGGAUGAAGAAGCCAUGGUAUGUUAAGAGUUUAUUCUAAUGGCAGUGGGAAGGACUGCUGUCCAAGUUUUCCUGUCUUCCCUAUUUAUCUCUUUGACUGGUUAUUUGAUUCGGUCACUCUGGUAGGCACUGAGAACAAACUGCCACUGAGUCCAUCGCCAGAAAGAGCUAACACUAGGUGGAUACCAAAUCAACUGUGCAUGAAGCCUGAGAAGUCUUGUUUAAUACGCGCUAAGGCUGAGAGUGACAAGGUAUUUGGCCCUGGGUGAACAGCUAUGGGCCACAUGAUACCAUGUCCUCUCAUGACUGUCACAGCAAACAGAGGAAGCCACACUGAACACGGAGAAGAGUGAAGCAGUGGACGUGUGGGUGCAGGGAGGAGCGGGUUGUCAGGGGACACUCAGGGCUGGCCCUUCUGUUCAUGAGCUCUUUGAAGGCGGCCAAGGACAAAAUGGGACAGAGACCAGCACAGUCUUGACAAGCCAGGUACAUAUUCAGGAAAGUAGGUUCCGUGGGAGUCUUUAAGGAGUCUCAAGGAUAUCUCUUGGGCACCCUGGGGAAGCACUCCCACUGUAACUCUCAGCUCCCACAGUCUAUAUAUAGAAAAGGUCUGGGUCCUCCAGGUUUGCUCAUGGGCUGUCUGAGGAGACAAAAGGAUGGAGACAGACAGGAGAAAACUAGCCGGCUCUGCAGGGCUCUGACAGGCUCUAUGAUCACACAUACAGCCUGGCUAACACGUCCUGCCUCACUGGGAGACAAGCAGGAGGCUGUCAACUGUGGUACAAAUAUAGUCCAGGACACCUGAAAGCAGCAGUAGAAGCCAAGCACAGAUAUCAUUUAAUCUAAUCUUUAUAAACGAUACUAAGUGCUGCUAAAAUAAAUGGACAAAAAAAAAAAUCACCACUAUUCUCAGGCCUUACAAACCAGCAGUUAUGCCUUGAUAUCAUCAAAACGUCACAUCACAAUUUAAGAUAGUAAUUAGUUUUUUUAAAGAAUGGUUUAGAGUCAGAAAAAAAUGGUUUAGGGAAAAAAAGACAACAGUCUAUACAUGGCCCUGGGUUAACUUAUCUCUGCAAUCUCUUUCAGUUUAUAUCCCCCUCCCCCCCCACCCCGCCGCCUUCCUCCAUGUUUUAACCAUAGAAUUACUUAUGGAUGAACCAGGAUUCUGAGGAUUUUCCCACAUUCUAGAUCUGGAAAUUUGCCUCUGUAUAAUGUUAUGGGUUAUGUAUGUGUACCACAUGUUUGCCUGGGGCCUGCAGAAGCCAGAAGAGAGCAUCAGAUCUCCUGGAACUGGAGUUACAAAAGGUAGCGAGCCCCCAUGAGGGUUCUGAGAACCGAACCUGGGUCUUUUGCAAAAGGAGAAAAAGCUCUUGCUGAGCCAUCUCUCCAGCCCCACCCCGGGCAGGGGCUCUCUAUUGAUGCUGCUUAAUUUCCUCUAUGGGAGGUACCCGAGCAGGUACAACAGGCAGCAGGAACCACACAUUGUGCUGGCUCUUCCACCAAGGCAGCUUUACAACAUUGGCUGGGACAUAUGUAGCAGCUACUUUUAACACUCUGAAAAGUAAUUUGAACAUACCCACUGGGAAAGAAGAUCAGAAUUUAAACUAUUAACAAAAUGGUAGUGAGUAUUCAAUUUUCCUUUGCCUUUUAGGAUUCUUAGGACACUGGAAAGAAGCCCCUAGCACAUUAAAGAGACAGAAGUAGAGGAAUGAGCACCACUCUUCUUAGGUGGAUCCCACACUGCACAUGUGUGCACCUGUCCUGAUCAUGGAUGCCCACACUGCACAUAUGUGCACCUGUCCUGAUCAUGGAUGCCCACACUGCACAUAUGUGCACCUUCUCUCGUCAUGGAUGCCCACACUGCACAUAUGCGCACCUGUCCUGAUCAUGGAUGCCCACACUGCACAUGUGUGCACCUGCCCUCGUCAUGGAUGCCCACACUGCACAUGUGUGCACCUGUCCUGAUCAUGGAUGCCCACACUGCACAUAUGUGCACCUUCCCUCGUCAUGGAUGCCCACACUGCACAUAUGUGCACCUGUCCUCAUCAUGGAUGCCCACACUGCACAUGUGUGCACCUGCCCUCAUCAUGGAUGCCCACACUGCACAUGUGUGCACCUGCCCUCAUCAUGGAUGCCCACACUGCACAUAUGUGCACCUGCCCUCAUCAUGGAUGCCCACACUGCACAUGUGUGCACCUGUCCUGAUCAUGGAUGCUCACACUGCACAUAUGUGCACCUGCCCUCCUCAUGGAUGCCCACACUGCACAUGUGUGCACCUGCCCUCAUCAUGGAUGCCCACACUGCACAUGUGUGCACCUGCCCUCAUCAUGGAUGCCCACACUGCACAUAUGUGCACCUGUCCUGAUCAUGGAUACCCACACUGCACAUGUGUGCACCUGCCCUCAUCAUGGAUGCCCACACUGCACAUGUGUGCACCUGUCCUGAUCAUGGAUGCCCACACUGCACAUGUGUGCACCUGCCCUCAUCAAGGAUGCCCACACUGCACAUGUGUGCACCUGCCCUCAUCAUGGAUGCCCACACUGCACAUGUGUGCACCUGUCUUCAUCAAGGAUGCCCACACUGCACAUGUGUGCACCUGCCCUCAUCAUGGAUGCCCACACUGCACAUGUGUGCACCUGCCCUCGUCAUGGAUGCCCACACUGCACAUGUGUGCACCUGCCCUCAUCAUGGAUGCCCACACUGCACAUGUGUGCACCUGCCCUCAUCAUGGAUGCCCACACUGCACAUGUGCGCACCUGCCCUCAUCAAGGAUGCCCACACUGCACAUGUGCGCACCUGCCCUCAUCAAGGAUGCCCACACUGCACAUGUGUGCACCUGUCUUCAUCAAGGAUGCCCACACUGCACAUGUGUGCACCUGCCCUCAUCAUGGAUGCCCACACUGCACAUGUGUGCACCUGCCCUCAUCAUGGAUGCCCACACUGCACAUGCGUGCACCUGUCUUCAUCAAGGAUGGCCAUGGACACCAGAAAGGAUGAGAAUGAACUCAGCCCACUGGGAAGUGCACAGUCCAACUUCAAGCAGCACAGCCCAGAACCAAUAACUAGGGAAAUGCCUAUCAGGUCAUUUGUCUACGAAGGCAAACAUGCAAGUAUUCUGUCUAGAAUUUACUUAAGAUGCUUGUGUUAGACAAAACAAACAAUAUGCCAGAACAGAAACUAAAAUUAGUUGUCAUAGAGAAAGACAGGAAAAUCUCAACCCAUGUGGGAAAAGACAACAACCAGAUGGAUACUAACAUAAAGAAACACAGGUAUGGGAACCGUGAGACAAAAAUGGGGCACAUCACUUACACUCUAACAGGGGAUCACAGACACACUGGAAACACAGCGCUUACACUCAACAGGGGGUCACGGGCAUACUGGAAAAAAGGGGAAAAACAGUCUAAGCAAAACA